CCUACGGGUGGCUGUAGUCUAGAAGCUUCGACAAUGGGGGAAACCCUGAUCGAGCGACGCCGCGUGCAGGAUGAAGGUCUUCGGAUCGUAAACUGCUUUCGCUGGGGAAGAAAGGUGUGGGAAUUAAUACCUCCCAUGCUAGACGGUACUCAGUAAAGAAGCCCCGGCUAAGUCCGUGCCAGCAGCCGCGGUAAUACGGGCGGGGCGAGCGUUGUUCGGAUUUAUUGGGUGGAAAGGGUGCGCAGGCGGUCGUCUAAGUCAGAGGUGAAAAUUCUGCGGCUCAACCGAGAACCUGCCUCUGAUACUGGACGACUUGGGUGCGGAAGGGGAGCGUGGAAUUCCUGGUGUAGCGGUGAAAUGCGUAGAUAUCAGGAGGAACACCGGUGGCGAAGGCGACGCUCUGGUCCGUAACUGACGCUCAUGCACGAAAGCCAGGGGAGCGAACG
rnacentral:rRNA from 1 species